GACGAACGCUGGCGGCGUGCCUGACACAUGCAAGUCGUACGGUUCAUGUAUCUUGCAAGCUUGCUUGUUUGUACAUGGAUAGUGGCGGACGGGUGAGUAACGCGUGAAUAUCUAUCCAUUGGAGGGGGACAACCCGUCGAAAGGCGGGCUAAUACCGCGUAGGCCAUUUUUUGGUGAAAGGUCACGUUUUGUGGCUGCCGAUGGAUGGGUUCGCGUCCUAUCAGCUUGUUGGUGGGGUAAGGGCCUACCAAGGCUAAGACGGGUAGCCGGUCUGAGAGGAUGGCCGGUCACACUGGAACUGAGAUACGGUCCAGACUCCUACGGGAGGCAGCAGUGGGGAAUCUUGGGCAAUGGGGGUAACCCUGACCCAGCGACGCCGCGUGAGGGAUGAAUGUUUUCGGAUUGUAAACCUCUGUUGUACGGGAAGAAGAGCGUGACGGUACCGUACGAGUAAGCCCCGGCAAACUACGUGCCAGCCGCCGCAGUAAUAC
rnacentral:rRNA from 1 species